rnacentral:lncRNA from 1 species
GGGUCGGCGGAGGUACCCUGGGCCCUCAAUUGCCAUUAGGAUUUGGGCCCGAGGGAUAGACAGGAAAGUAUAGCUGUUGAAACACCGAGGGGGACUCCUCGGCUUGGAGCUCUUCGACAGUCGAGAGGAAUCUUCACCUACUUGAUCAGUGCGAGGUUCUUUCUGAUCUAGCUUCUUACUGGGGAUCCUCUUCCCCUCAUCCUGCUUC